CAAUCUCGCAGCUCAGUAUACUGCCAUCAAGGUAAAACACCAUGUCCCUUCUCCCUGGAUCUCCAGGUGGGUGCCAGACAACAACAGGAAGGUAUAGCUCUCCAUGGCUGCCUUCAUUCUUGCCUGGAUGCAACAAGGAAACUUGGCAUCCAGGUUUUGGGGGAGUUGACCCAUCCAUCCCCAAGGAUGCUUUAUUCCUGCUCUUCUUUAAUGGCAUUGAAAUGGAAAAUGCAGCACCUUGUAUGUCCUAGGCAGAUAUUCCUGGGGAGCUCACAGGCUGACCUCCCAGCCCUGUUUUUCCUCCUGCUUUCCCUUGGUUAUACAAGCUUUUAUUUUUGAUACGGACCUUAUAAGGCAAGUCCAUCUACAGACAGCUUUUCCUUACAUUCCCCCUUGCCAAGAUGAUGUCACCUUAAAAACGAGACUUGCAAAAGGUUAAACUGUGAUUAGGCAGAUCGCGUCGCCUCGAACUGUGAUCUUUGGCGGAGCAAACACCGUGAGGAUGGAAAGGGGAAGAUAAGGGUGCUGUGCUGGUGCCAGUGGUGCUGGAUUCUGGUGGAGCAAAGCACACUGGCAGCGCCAACUCACUGUGCAAAGGCUGAGCAGCUUCUCGCCCUCCUUAGUGGCUUGUUUGGUUCUGGAUCAUUGUUUCUUGCAGAGGACCGAGGAUGUCCUCGAUGUUCGGCAAACCCCGAGCCAGCGGCGAGCGGCCACCCCAGAGUCCCCUCCCUGAGUGCAACGUGGCCGUCCUGGGGUGCAGAGGGGCCGGCAAGUCAGCUCUGACCGUGAAGUUUCUAACCAAGAGGUUCAUCAGCGAAUAUGAUCCCAACUUGGAGGACACCUACUCCUCGGAGGAGCUGGUGGACCAGCAGCCUGUGCUGUUGAAGGUGAUGGACACAGCUGACCAGGAUGGCCCUGGGAACAGCGAGCGCUACCUGUGCUGGGCCAGCGCCUUCCUUGUUGUCUACAGCAUUGACGACAGGAAGAGCUUUGAGGGCUGCCAGCGCUACCUCGAGGUCCUCGCCGUGCAUGCACAGGGCUGCCAGUGCCGCUGCCCCGUGCUCCUGCUGGGAAACAAACUGGACAUGGAGCAGUACAGGGAAGGCACAAGGACACAUGGAGUGAAGCAGCAAGCCCAGCCCACAUCUGAGGGCACCUACCCUGGUGAUGGUCACAGCCGUCAGUUUGCACCAUGUUCCUGGAACACGCCAGCUGCUUAUGGGCAAACGCUGACAGGCUCUGCCUGGAAAGAGGCUGAACCCCAGAGACACUAUCUCAGCAAAGCCUCCUGCCUGUCUUCACCUAUGGCCUGCUUCUUCCAGAGGUGGGAUGGAUCACGCCUUCACGGUGUUUCUUCAGUGUGGAGAUGCCUGAGAAAGACAGAGAAACUAAGGAGUUGAGAAAGACCCUGAUUGCCCUCCUACUCCAGCUCUAUUCAGAGGGAGGAUCUCACGUACUUUGGCAUCUGUUUCCUCCUGUGAAUGUGAGUCUGAGCUGCCACGACAGGGUGCAGAAAUCCCUGGAGCCACCAAGGUGAUCGCAGAGGGAGUCUGGCACAGCGUCUGCUGCCUGAGGUUGGACCCCUUGCCGAGGUGAACCUGUACAGAUGUGAGCUCAGCUGCUGCAAGCCAGCCCCUCCCCAACUAACUAAGCUUCCCUGCUUGCUCCCCUGCCUUAAUCCUUAGAGAAUACAUACUUUGCAUGUGGCUAUCUGUUGCCAACCCAUGGAUGGCAGAAUAAGGGUGUGGAGAUGAGGAAAUGGAAGGCUUAGCUCCAAGAGGAGGCAAGGCUGGCUUGCCAUUGAGCAUACAGUGUCUCCCAUCCCUCAGGGAAACAGAAAGUCCUCCUUGACCUUUAGUCCCUCAUUUGUCAGUGGCAUUAAUCCAACUUUUAUGGCUGCUUAUCCAAAUCAGUUCUUCAGCCUCCUUUGAAGGGACCUGCCCUGAGCAGGGGUUCCUGGCUGUCCAUUGUGAGUUGGUGAGACAUUGAGAUGGCUCUACCCAGCCCACUGCUCGCUGGCCAUCACCCACUGGAAGGUCAACGACACCACAACACACAUGUCCCUCAGACAUUCUGGCCCCACAGGCCAUUAAUUAUUAUAUGGAGACUUUUAUGACAGUCUGAUACUCUCAACUUUUACCUGCCUUUGCUGUGUGGCCUGGUGCUGUCUGAAACUUGUUCACAAGCAUGUUCCACUGUGCCAGGCGUGUCAACAAUGCUGUUGCUGACUCCUCAGGGAAGCACUUGUCCCUUCGGUUAUAGACCUAAUGAUUGCUACUAUUUUCCCCCCCUUCUCAAUGUCUUCACAAUUCAAAGUUCACAUUUUAUAGCUAACCAGGCAUGCAGGCUUGCUCCCUGCUGCCAGAAAACCACCUGCUAGCAAUUCUUUGAGGAGGGGACUCUCAAAUAUGUGGUCCACUUUGUAUUACAGAAAAUAUGGGUAAAGCUGCUCCCCGCAGUUAGGUGUGCCAAUUACCUUCCUGUCCAGGUAACCUUUAGCUUAUUCACAUGGAUCACCCCUUACAAAGGAGGAAAUAAAAUCUUGAUGCCAAUGCAAAUAAGUUACAAGUCAGCUACACCCUAAUAAGAAGUGGCACUUGAAUGUGUUAAAUCUUGCAGUGCAAGGCUUCUGAGUAAUCAUUCGCCCGAACAGGAAUAUUUGACAAGAAUGUUGCUGAUUUUCCCCUUAGGUGUUUCAUAAGUUGUGGGCUACCUCCUGGUGUCUAUGCACUGCAGGGAUGCUGGAAAGCUGCUGGAAGUACUUCACUACUUCAUAAAGUAGUGACCAACUGCCAAAUCUUUCCACACAUUGGAGGCCAGAACUUUGCAGGUACAACACAGCAGCAGAAUGGACAUUUAUUGAGCAUUAACAGGACAUUUAGGUAAAAUACUUUCAGGGAAACUACUGUUAUUUUACAGAUCUCUUACAUCUAAAUCACACUAACCAAAUUAGUUUCAUCAAAGCUACAAAACAAAGUGUUCUCAGGUCAGUGUGUCUACUCCAGUGGAGUCUGAGCAGGAUCCAGGAUUCUGCCUAAACCACCAAUUUCCUCAGUAAGGAAACAGUGACUCCCACAGUUGGACUGGAAAUGCUCUGAGGAGUUUGGAUCUUCCAGCCUGGAAGAGAUUGUUAAAGCCAUCUCCUCCAGCCUCCUCCAGACAGCUGCCCUGCCCUGCUGCCCACAUCCCAGCCUGGGCAAGUACUGCUCCACGAGACGAGCUGGGAGAGUGUGGGGAUGUUCUUCCCCAUUGCUCCCCUGCCUGCACAUCUCAGCAGUAACUCUGCCUGCUGAUGGACAGGGAUAAGCCCUUUGAUCCAGGCCUCUGCAACUCCAAGUGUGCACUUUGGUCUCCUAUCCCUCUGAAGACACCCAAGACCCUUUUGAGGUUGCUUCCCAUCUUGGGUACAACACAGGAAGCUCAAAUGGGAGAGAGCUCAUGCAUUUUAUACUCAUAUGGAAGGAGGCAGAAAGAACAAAGAACCCACUACCUCUCAAGAAACAUUUUACCUGUGUUACUUUGAAUUUAUAUUGACACCUGAACAUUUUUGUAAUUUCUUUCUUUUUGCAAAUGGGAUUUUCAUACCAAAAGCUUCAAAAUCUGUAUGGUGUUGUGUAUUUCAGGAACAAAGAGUCACUCACUGAUGCUAUUUCAAAUCCUCCUGAGGAUCUGUGGACUUUGGUAGCAUUCAGUGAAAUCUCAAGAAAUUACAGAAAAAUUAAAUUACAGAAAUUACAGAAAAAUGGCAAGUGACUGCUUUUUGCUCUAUGCAUUGAUCCCAGCACUUAAAUGGUAAAAUCCUUUCUCAUAAUGGGAGCCCUUGGAGAUCUGAGACCUAUCACAUGCAGAAGGCAGACCUGAGGGAUGGGUGCUCUAAAGGUUGGCAUAAUCCAGCAAGGGGGCUGUGCCAUGUGGGAACAUGGGAACACACACAUCCCCAGCUGCACGUGGACUCUUUCCAGUCAGGGCACAGCACGUGGUGCUCUGAAACCACCCCGUGCUUUCGAUAGUGGGUUUUGUCAGGUCUGAUAUUCAUGGCUGCUCACCAAGACACAUGUUGCCCUCAUUCUGCAAAUGAGAAGUCUUUAGAUACAUAUUAUACUGGUGUACGUAAAGAUGGGGAAAAAUCUUUUGGAAAUACCAUCAAGUACAGCUUCUGUUAAGAUGAUAAUGUCCCUCUGGGCUCCGUACUCAAAACUCACUACACUAUAUGGGACAAUGCAUUUAGACUAUCCCAGUCUUUCUAAAGUAGUCUCCUCUUGCCAUCCAGACUCUUUCUCUGGUGGUUAUCUUAUCUUAGCUGAUAGCAUGAAAAUGGGUCAGUUAUUCCAAAUACAGUCUUAAAGUGGGAUGUCCUGUCUUUGGGAUUCAUAGAGGAUAUAUAUACGUCACACCACAGCCAUGCAAAUGGAUGCUGUGGUUUAUAAAGGCACAUUAAGGACUGAGUUCUAUUAAGGAACACAAGAAAAAUGUUUAGUAUUUAAAAUACUAAGGCAAGAAGGCAGUCUGUGCUAUUUUUUAACCUCUGUAAAGUAAAAAGCUAAAGAGCAAAUCCGAGUUAUAUUACAUAUUUUCCUUUCACUGCUUUUAUAUGCAGGAGUUAUCCCAGCCUGCUUUUUACUUGCCAUUCAGACAGUCUCUUCUUAAAAAGUCUGCCUUCAUUUAAAAUUUUCAAGGAUUCAAGCCUUCUAACUGGAAUAAAUAAAUAAGCCUUUCUUUACAGAUAGCUAUAAAUUAACCCAGCAGCCAGUGCAGCAGGAAUGCCCGUUAAUCUCCGCUAACUCACCAGAAACGCGCAGUUCCCAGCAGGGAGGAAGCUACAUUUCUUCUUUAAGCCCUGUCAUCCGAAGACAUCUCCUCCGAGCACUGUGGUAAUACAAGGUUCCCUGUGCUCCUGCUCUGGGUAUGCUACGAGCUGUGAUUCAUUCUGCUCCUGAGUCAUGUGUGAAGGCCAGUUCAACAGCACCACUGGAGACAGUGACAUCUUCAAUGUCUGAGAGAGGAAAACCCUAAUGAUGGACCAACAGACAUGAAAAAGGGAAGGAAUAUACACAGCACUGCUUAGUAUGGCACAAAAUUUCACUUUUUUUUUUUGGACCCUUCCCUCAUGUAUCUGACAUAAAAUUCUGCCAUCCAUUUUCCAAGUAAUUUACAUCUUUUCACUGGCAUAUAGGACAUUUACAGAUUCUUACACUCCAUGUUGCAGAAAUUCCUAGUGUCAAAGAUUGUAGGAUAGACUGUGAUUUAGAUGUGCAGGGAAUUUGUGUAUGUGAUUUACUUUAAAAGCUACACAAAUAAACCAUCUUCCCAUGGGGGGAAAGAAUGUA